UACGUAGGGAGCGAGCGUUGUCCGGAAUGACUGGGCGUAAAGGGCGUGUAGGCGGUCAUUUAAGUCUGGAGUGAAAGUCCUGUUUUCAAGGUGGGAAUUGCUUUGGAUACUGAAUGACUUGAGUGCGGAAGAGGUAAGUGGAAUUCCCAGUGUAGCGGUGAAAUGCGUAGAGACUGGGAGGAACACCAGUGGCGAAGGCGACUUACUGGGCCGUAACUGACGCUGAGGCGCGAAAGCGUGGGGAGCGAAC
rnacentral:rRNA from 1 species